CCUACGGGAGGCAGCAGUGAGGAAUAUUGGUCAAUGGGCGCUAGCCUGAACCAGCCAAGUAGCGUGAAGGAUGACUGCCCUAUGGGUUGUAAACUUCUUUUAUAUGGGAAUAAAGUGCAGUAUGUAUACUGCUUUGCAUGUACCUUAUGAAUAAGGAUCGGCAAACUCCGUGCCAGCAGCCGCGGUAAUACGGAGGAUCCGAGCGUUAUCCGGAUUUAUUGGGUUAAAGGGAGCGUAGGCGGGUUGUUAAGUCAGUUGUGAAAGUUUGCGGCUCAACCGUAAAAUUGCAGUUGAUACUGGCAUUCUUGAGUACAGUAGAGGUAGGCGGAAUUCGUGGUGUAGCGGUGAAAUGCUUAGAUAUCACGAAGAACUCCGAUUGCGAAGGCAGCCUGCUGGACUGUAACUGACGCUGAUGCGCGAAAGUGUGGGGAGCAAACAGGAUUAGAUACCCGGGUAGUC
rnacentral:rRNA from 1 species